AUUGAACGCUGGCGGCAGGCUUAACACAUGCAAGUCGAACGAGUGGAGGACGGGUGAGUAAUGCUUGGGCAUCUAGCUUAUGGAGGGGGCUAACUACGGGAAACUGUAGCUAAUACCGCGUACGAUAGGAUGAGCAGAAGGGGGAUUGGGUAGGUGGUGAGGUAAAGGCUCACCAAGCCGAGGAUCUCUAGCUGGUCUGAGAGGAUGACCAGCCACACUGGGACUGAGACACGGCCCAGACUCCUACGGGAGGCAGCAGUGGGGAAUAUUCCGCAAUGGGGGCAACCUGACGCAGCAAUGCCGCGUGAAUGAAGAAGGCCUUCGGGUUGUAAAGUUCUUUCGGUAGCGAGGCGUUAACUACAGAAGAAGCAACGGCUAACUCCGUGCCAGCAGCCGCGGUAAUUC
rnacentral:rRNA from 1 species